ACUCCUACGGGAGGCAGCAGUGGGGAAUCUUGGACAAUGGGGGAAACCCUGAUCCAGCGACGCCGCGUGGGUGAUGAAGGCCUUCGGGUUGUAAAGCUCUUUUGUCCGGAACGAAACGGAUGACGUGAAUAUCGUCGUCUACUGACGGUACCGGAAGAAUAAGCACCGGCUAACUACGUGCCAGCAGCCGCGGUAAU
rnacentral:rRNA from 1 species